AUUGAACGCUUGCGGCAUGCCUUACACAUGCAAGUCGAACGGCAGCACGGGUGCUUGCACCUGGUGGCGAGUGGCGAACGGGUGAGUAAUACAUCGGAACAUGUCCUGUAGUGGGGGAUAGCCCGGCGAAAGCCGGAUUAAUACCGCAUACGAUCUACGGAUGAAAGCGGGGGACCUUCGGGCCUCGCGCUAUAGGGUUGGCCGAUGGCUGAUUAGCUAGUUGGUGGGGUAAAGGCCUACCAAGGCGACGAUCAGUAGCUGGUCUGAGAGGACGACCAGCCACACUGGGACUGAGACACGGCCCAGACUCCUACGGGAGGCAGCAGUGGGGAAUUUUGGACAAUGGGCGAAAGCCUGAUCCAGCAAUGCCGCGUGUGUGAAGAAGGCCUUCGGGUUGUAAAGCACUUUUGUCCGGAAAGAAAUCCUUGGCCCUAAUACGGUCGGGGGAUGACGGUACCGGAAGAAUAAGCACCGGCUAACUACGUG
rnacentral:rRNA from 1 species